AAGCACUCUUAGCCAUGAUCUCCACCUGAGAUACUAGGGUGAGGCCAGGAUCCAAGAGGACUCCCAAAAUUCUUUCCUAUUCCUUCCAGGGGAGUGUAACCCCAUCCUGGACAGCUGUUAUUAAUUCAUUGGAGAAAUGGAUAAGACAACUAUACCGAAUAGGCAUCCAAGAAGCUGAUAACUGCACUGGCAGAUAAAUUUGAAUCUUCUUUGAUAGCUGGUGGCUACUCCGACCCAUGAGAAUCUGUGUCAUAUCCCACCUGUCUGGUUGUGGACUGAAGGAAACAGCUCUUUACUAUGAACCUGGCAAAAGAAAGAGGAAGAAGUCUGAGUUUGCAGUUGGCUGGU